GGUGGCAGCAGUCGAGAAUCAUUCGCAAUGGGGGAAACCCUGACGAUGCUACGCCGCGUGGAGGAUGAAGGCCUUAGGGUUGUAAACUCCUGUCAAGAGGGAAUAAGCAAGUGAAGGUACCUCUAGAGGAAGGGGCGGCUAAUUCCGUGCCAGCAGCCGUGGUAACACGGAAGCCCCGAGCGUUGUUCGGAUUCAUUGGGCGUAAAGGGUGCGUAGGCGGCGCGGAAAGUCCGGCGUGAAAGGCAGUGGCUCAACCUCUGGACUGCGUUGGAUACUUCCGUGCUUGAGGACUGGAGGGGAGACUGGAAUUCACGGUGUAGCAGUGAAAUGCGUAGAUCUCGUGAGGAAGACCAGGGUGUCGAAGGCCGAAGUCUCUGGACAGAUUCCGGACGCUGAGGCACGAAGGCUGGGGGAACGAACAGGACUUAGAUACCCUGGUAGUCACAGCAGUAAACGAUGUGAGCUUGAUAUGGGGGGAUUCGACCCCUUCCGUGUCGAACGCUAACGCGAUAAGCUCACCGCCUGAGGAGUACGGCAGCAAGGCUAAAACUCAAAGAAAUUGACGGGGACCCGCACAAGCGGUGGAGUAUCUGGCUUAAUUCGAUGCAACGCGAAGAACCUUACCUGGCCUUGACAUGCAUUGUGUCGUCGGUGAAAGCCGGCUAGUCCUGGAAACAGGACGCUUUGCACAGGUGCUGCAUGGCUGUCGUCAGCUCGUGUCGUGAGAUGUUGGGUUAAGUCCCGCAACGAGCGCAACCCUUGUGGUCAGUUACUAACCGGCUUAGCCGGAGGACUCUGGCCAGACUGCCCUGUCAAACGGGGAGGAAGCCCGCGGGACGACGUCAAGUCAGUAUGGCCCUUAUGGCCAGGGCUGCACACGUACUACAAUGCACGGUACAAUGUGAACCGAAACCGCGAGGUGGAGGAAAUCGCUCUUGAAAACCGGGCCCAGUUCGGAUUGGAGUCUGCAACUCGACUCCAUGAAGUCGGAAUCGCUAGUAAUGGCGUAUCAG
rnacentral:rRNA from 1 species